rnacentral:rRNA from 1 species
UACGUAGGGUGCGAGCGUUGUCCGGAAUCAUUGGGCGUAAAGCGCGCGUAGGUGGCCCCAUAAGUCCGCUGUGAAAGUCAAAGGCUCAACCUUUGAAAGCCGGUGGAUACUGUGGGACUAGAGUACGGAAGAGGCGAGUGGAAUUCCUGGUGUAGCGGUGGAAUGCGCAGAUAUCAGGAGGAACACCAAUAGCGAAGGCAGCUCGCUGGGACGUUACUGACACUGAGGCGCGAAAGCGUGGGGAGCGAACAGG